CCCCAAACCUCAUCCCUCCAUCUCCACCAUCCCCCUCCCCCACCCACCGCCGACCGCUGCCGCCCACGACCACUCCGACCAUGCUGGAUGCCACUCGCCUACCAAGCCGACCGUUUCAGCUUCCCCCUCACCCACUGACAGCGUUUCAGCUUCUCUCCACCACGAGUACCGCCGAUCGCCACCCACCGCCAACCAGGAGCUCCAAAUUUUUUCCCCCUCCUCAUCUCCUCUCCCACGCUUCUCCAUCCUCCCCCCUCACCUCCGGUCGAAAGCCAUUUCGACCACGACCACGCCGCACGCUGACCGUUCCGACCACCGUCAAUCUCUCUCUCUACGAUCAGUUUCCCUCUCUCUCUCUCUCUCUCUCUCUCUCUCUCACUUAUUUGUGGUUUUUUUUUGGGGGGGUUUCUCAAACCCCUUUGCUUACCGUGCUUAUCUGUCUAUGGAGAAACUUGGGGGUGCGACUAGAUAGAUCAUGUCUGAUCUCCUAAAAGGGCUGUCAAUAUUACCAUUAAUAGGUCCGUGCUGUCAUGGAAAAAUAUCCUCCUUAUCAGUCUAUUUUUGCUAAAUUAUCCUAUGGAGAGAGCCAGAUGCUAGACAAGGCAUUCUAUGAAGAGGAGGUGAAAAGGCUUUGCUUAGCAUUUGAGCAGCAGUUCCAUUAUGGUGUUUUCUUUGCUUACAUGAGGUUGAGGGAGCAGGAGAUAAGGAAUUUGAUGUGGAUUUCUGAAUGCGUGGCUCAGAAUCAGAAGGCCAGAGUUUAUGACAGUGUUGUCUUCAUCUUUUAGUUCAAUUUUUGACUCGGAAGAAAAAGUAAUUUGUUCUUUUGCAUAAUCUUCUGUAAAUCACCUCCCUCUCAUCCUCCAAUGUUUAGCAGAGAUACCUACCUCUCCCUUUGUGAGAUUGUGUUAAAAAUUAUAGUUUUUGUUUGUUUGUUUAUUAGGAAAGUUAUUGUAUAAGAUUGGUAGAAUAUAUUCUUGUUGUAAGAAGAAA